rnacentral:rRNA from 1 species
AUUACCUACGUCCCAAAAUUCCUAAAAUCCUUAUUAACCCCUCACCCCUACUGAAUCAUUUUAUAACACUAUAAAAACUAUCAUGCUAGAACUAGUAACAAGAAAUUGCCCUUCUCCUGAAUGUAAGUCAGAACCGAAAUAAACCCUAUCGGUAUUUAACGCGAGUGCAUUAACUAUAGCAACACACACCUAGAAAAUCCUAUUAUUAACCCCCCACGUCAACCUUACACCAGAACAUUACAGGAAAGAUUAAAAGAAAGAGAAGGAACUCGGCAAACCAUAGCCCCGCCUGUUUACCAAAAACAUCGCCUCUUGCUCCCCAUAAGAGGUCCAGCCUGCCCAGUGACAUAGUUUAACGGCCGCGGUAUCCUAACCGUGCGAAGGUAGCAUAAUCACUUGUUCUCUAAAUAGGGACUAGUAUCAACGGCAUCACGAGGACUAUACUGUCUCCUCCUUCCAAUCAGUGAAACUGAUCUCCCCGUGAAGAAGCGGGGAUUUUUAUAUUAGACGAGAAGACCCCAUGGAGCUUAAAAUUUAAUGUACACCUCCACUCAUUAAAUCAACAUAACCGGACAACUGUACAUGAAUUUUGGGUUGGGGUGACCGCGGAGUAUAAAAUAACCUCCCCGACAAACGGGCUAACGCCCUUAUCUACGAUCUACCACUCUAAGAAUCAAUAAUUUGAUGUUUAAUGACCCGAUAACUCGAUCAACGGACCAAGUUACCCUGGGGAUAACAGCGCAAUCUACUUUAAGAGUCCCUAUCGACAAGUAGGCUUACGACCUCGAUGUUGGAUCAGGGUAUCCUAGUGGUGCAGCCG